rnacentral:misc_RNA from 1 species
GUCUGCGCAAAACAGUGACGUCACCGAAAGAGGCUGUUUCGAUUCGAUCCAGCUCUCUAUAUAUAGUUCCUGGAACAGAGAUCAUUAACACUAGACUGAACACUCUAUCCGCUUUUUGUGACAGUCGGGAACUUCGUUUAAAGCAUGGACGAAGACGGGGCAGAGGAUGGGAACUCAAGUCAAAGGUCGAACGUCAAUACUACCGCGGUAAAGGACGGACAGGCCGGGACAGCGAUAGCAUUUGGCAAUGCUAAAAUUGAAAACCUUUCAAUGAACUUUUCU